GUGAGCUUAAAUAUGGUGCAUGCAUAGCAGCAUGUAAUGUGGAAAACAAAAAUGAACACAAAAAUGCAAGAUUAACACAAAAUGAAAGUGUGCUUUUAAGAAAUAACUACAAAGAGCUUCAUAUAAAAGAGAGCAGUCUCUCUCAGGCUCCUUCAGUGUUCAUUUCGCUCUUGUGAAGGGAUGCUGGAGAACCUAGACCAGUUUGUCUGUUCACUUGUCUGUUCAUCUGGCAUUCAAUGAGAUAAAGAUUUAUGGUCCCAGUGACUGAAAAACAAUAGUCCCUAAAGUAAAACCAAAGGCACAUUUUGAAGGUUGUCAUGGUCCUGGGCCAUGUGGGCCCAGCAUUCUUAGUUUUCAUGUAUUUUUGUAUUUUGUUCUUUAUUUAGGCCAUGCUUCCUGGGUUGAUCUGUUACGUUGUUCCUUAUGUGUUUUCCCUUCGUGACUCUUACCCCCUGUGUGCCCCUCUGUGUAUUUAUGAGCCCUCGUCUCCCUUUGUGGUUGUUUCAUGUUUCCCCAGCCCGUUAUGUCUGUGUUUUUCCCCGUGCUCUCUCUCCUCCUGUCUGAACCUCUGUGCCUGUACAUGUCAUGUUCAGUUCACCCAGCCCUGUCUCGUUAUGAUUAUCAGUGUCACCUGUGUUCCCCGUGUGUGCCCACUUUCCUCGUUUACCCUCUGUGUAUUUCUGUCUGAGUCUCCCUCUGUUCGGUGUCGUGUUCUCCCUCAUGCUGUGUGUGAUUCCCCUGUGUUCCUUGGUGAGCUUUAUGUUAGUUUUUCCCAGUUUAGUUUUGUAUUGUUUCUCGUGGCCAGCAAUAAAGCUGUGUUUUUGAGUUCACCCCCGUGUCGUACUACGGUGUACAUUUUAGGACAUCGUCAGGUAUCAGACAAAAAAUUGUCAGGUGUCAGUUGUCAAAAAAAAAAGUUGUCAGGUAUCAGAAAAAAAAUUGUCAGGUGUCAGAAAAAAAAUUGUCAGGUGUCAGUUGUCAAAAAAAAAAAAAGUCAGGUAUCAGAAAAAAAAUUGUCAGGUGUCAGAAAAAAAGUUGUCAGGUGUCAGAAAAAAAAUUGUCAGGUGUCAGUUGUCCAAAAAAAAAAAAGUCAGGUAUCAGAAAAAAAAUUGUCAGGUGUCAGAAAAAAAGUUGUCAGGUGUCAGAAAAAAAGUUGUCAGGUGUCAGACAAAAAAUUGUCAGGUGUCAGUUGUCAAAAAAAAAAAAGUCAGGUAUCAGAAAAAAAAUUGUCAGGUGUCAGAAAAAAAGUUGUCAGGUGUCAGAAAAAAAGUUGUCAGGUGUCAGAAAAAAAAUUGUCAGGUGUCAGUUGUCCAAAAAAAAAAAAGUCAGGUGUCAGAAAAAAAAUUGUCAGGUGUCAGAAAAAAAGUUGUCAGGUGUCAGAAAAAAAGUUGUCAGGUGUCAGACAAAAAAUUGUCAGGUGUCAGUUGUCAAAAAAAAAAAAGUCAGGUAUCAGAAAAGAAAUUGUCAGGUGUCAGAAAAAAAGUUGUCAGGUGUCAGACAAAAAAGUUGUCAGGUGUCAGAAAAAAAAUUGUCAGGUAUCAGAACACAAGGUACCAGAGAGAAAAUCUUCCUGCAGGUGGCGCUGUUGUCAUGUCCCACCCGAAUUGAUUUCCAAAUACGUCAUCAACGUGUGACCGUGGGAGAGCGUAAGGUCAUUGACCUCACCGGAGUUUUACCGUGGUUCAGGCUCCUAACGACACAAGGUAAGUUUAACUUUUUCUCCCUUUUGUUCAUAUUUUUGCCACAGUUGUGUUAUAUUAAGUUGCAGUUAUGUUGUGAAAGUUACAUAUCAGAGACGGAAAGCCAGUUUUGUACGAAACCAAAUCAGUACUAUUUUUGUCUGGCUAAUUCAUUCUAGCUAGCGACAGUGGUGAAACGUGAUUCAAAUUUAAACUGUUCAGUAAUUGUUUUGUAUACAUUUCAGCAAAUGGACAAGCUGAAAGCUUACGAGCAGCCUGCAUCCUUUCUGUCGCUCUUUUUCUUUAUUUCUCUUUUCUAUAUUGCUACUGUCGGGAUAUUUUUUGAUCCCGAUUUUUUUUUCUGUUAUUGUUUUUAGACUUUGCUGCAAUAUGUCAUCUGACGAUGAUGAAAGGAAUAUGAUGAUAAUAACAUUGUUCAACAAAGGCUUAAAACAAAAGGAAAUCAGCUGUGCACUGAAUUCAUAUGGGCAUAAAAUAAGUGAGAGGCAUCUGAGACGAGUUUUAAAACUUCUAGGGUUGAAGCGAAGAUGCCCCCAACGACCUUUUACUGAAAUCCACAAAGCUGUGGAGAGUGAGAUGAAACAGUGGUCUCCUGAACAAGGAAUCAGGGCAAUGGUAAAGCGGGU
ensembl:lncRNA